AGCUGCAGGAUCAUCAGCUGAAGGAUUUGAUGUGGAGGAAACAGAGAAAGAGAAACACUCUGAGGAUGAACGUUGGCCUGCACUGAUCCACAAAGUAGAAACGAUGGAGUCUGUUAUUGAGCUGCUGCUGGAAACUCUGGAUGGGCUGAAUGAGCAGGAGCUACACAAAUUCAACCAAACACUGCAACUAAUUCAUCGCAAAUAUUACUCAGUCUUCUCAUGGAUGUCGUACAUGAGGACAGACCUGCAGCACACAGUGUUUCUGAUGGUGCAGACUUACGGCCAACAGUCAGUGGAGAAGACCAAGAAGGUCUUAAAGGAGAUGAAGAGGACUGAUCUGGCUCAGAGGCUGUCAGACUGCAGCUCACUGCCUCGAAAGAAACACUCUGUGGAUGAACGACGCUCUGCACUGAUCCACAAAGUGGCAACAAUGGCAGCUGUUAAACAUCUGCUUUUAGAAACUUUGAAUGAUUUGAGUGAUGAGGAGCUGAAGAAAUUUAAGAGGCUCUUACAGAUGAUUAUUCCUUGGAGGAAUCGGUCAUAUUUCUCAUGGAGGUUGAGUCGAUCAUCAACCAGAGCAGAUGUAGUGAAUCUGAUGAUGGAUGAACUUGGUCAGCAGUCUGUGGAGGUGACCAGAGAAGUUUUCAUGCGUAUGAACAGAACUGAUCUGGUGCAGAAGUUACCAGACAGCAGCUCAGCAUCCAGAGAGAAACACUCUGUGGAUGAACAUGGAGCUGCACUGUUGAAGAGAAGAGAAGCACUGACGGCUGUUAAAAAGAUUCUUGUGGAAAUCCUGAGACAUUUGAAUCAAAAGGAUCUCGAGGAAUUCAAUUUGUUGCUGCAGUUCACUUGCUUCAAAAUGGGCCUGCCACAAAUACAGACAUAUAGAAACAUGACAGAUGAACUAGUGAAACAGAUGGUGGAUGAAUUUGGUCAUCAGUCUGUGGAGGUGAUCAGGGAGGGUUUAACAGACAUGCAGAGAACUGAUCUGGUGCAGAGGCUGUCAGAGAGCAGCUCAGGACUCAAAGGUAAGAGAAAUCAUCUGUCAGAGUGUCUGUAAUAACUUUAAUACAAUUUUUUUUAAUUCAUUAAAGUUUAUUUAAUCAGGAAAAAAUAAA
ensembl:lncRNA